rnacentral:tRNA from 1 species
GGGGAUUUAGCUCAGUGGUAGAGCGCUUACCUAGCAAGUACAAGGCCCUGGGUUCAGUCCCCA